AUUGAAUGCUGGCGGCAUGCCUUACACAUGCAAGUCGAACGGUAACAGGUCUUCGGAUGCUGACGAGUGGCGAACGGGUGAGUAAUGCAUCGGAACGUGCCCAGUCGUGGGGGAUAACGCAGCGAAAGCUGCGCUAAUACCGCAUACGAUCUGUGGAUGAAAGCGGGGGACCGUAAGGCCUCGCGCGAUUGGAGCGGCCGAUGUCAGAUUAGGUAGUUGGUGGGGUAAAGGCUCACCAAGCCGACGAUCUGUAGCUGGUCUGAGAGGACGACCAGCCACACUGGGACUGAGACACGGCCCAGACUCCUACGGGAGGCAGCAGUGGGGAAUUUUGGACAAUGGGCGCAAGCCUGAUCCAGCAAUGCCGCGUGCAGGAAGAAGGCCUUCGGGUUGUAAACUGCUUUUGUACGGAACGAAAAGGCUCUGGUUAAUACCUGGGGCUCAUGACGGUACCGUAAGAAUAAGCACCGGCUAACUACGUGCCAGCAGCCGCCGUAACAC
rnacentral:rRNA from 1 species